UGUGAGCCGACUGUUCCAGCUGGGUGGACAGAUCUUAAGUCAAGUCAUGUUCUUAGACUCUGUUUGUUGUAAGCGACGCUCGGCUUUAAAUGUACGUAUUUGUAAAUGAGUUCAACUGAGCAGACAGGUGCAGAACCUUCUUCUUCUUCUCAUGUUACAGUUAAAGCAGACAGGUGUGUGACCUCUGUCUUAUAAACAGUGUCUAAAUAAAACAACAAACC